CCCUUCGGAGCUCAGUGGUAGAGCAAUGGACUAUAAAGGAUAGCAACUAUCCAGAGGGUGCUGGUUCAAUUCAGCCUAAAGGA
rnacentral:tRNA from 1 species